rnacentral:rRNA from 1 species
UACUCAGAGGGGAGCGGUAAAAUGCGAGAAUCCUCUGAAGACCACCUGUUGCGAAGGCGUUCGACAAUAACGGGUCUGACUGUGAGGGACGAAAGCUAGGGGAGCGAACCGGAUUAGAUACCCGAGUAGUCCUAGCCCUAAACGCUGCGAGCUAGGUGUUGCAUAAUCUUCGGGAUUAUGCAGUAUCGUAGUGAAGACGUUAAGCUCGCCGCCUGGGAAGUACGGCCGCAAGACUGAAACUUAAAGGAAU